rnacentral:rRNA from 1 species
AUAACAAUACAGGACUCUUUCGAGGCCCUGUAAUUGGAAUGAAUGCACUUUAAAUCCUUUAACGAGGAUCUAUUGGAGGGCAAGUCUGGUGCAGAGCGACUGACCAGUGCGUGCUGCAGCUGAAA